AAUCAACGCUGGCGGCGUGCUAACACAUGCAAGUCGCACGAGAAAGGGGAGCAAUCCCUGAGUAAAGUGGCGCACGGGUGAGUAACACGUGAUUAAUCUACCCUCGAGUGGGGAAUAACUGAGAGAAAUCUUAGCUAAUACCGCAUAACACUUACGAGUCAAAGCAGCAAUGCGCUUGGGGAGGAGGUCGCGGCCGAUUAGCUAGUUGGCGGGGUAAUGGCCCACCAAGGCGAUGAUCGGUAUCCGGCCUGAGAGGGCGCACGGACACACUGGAACUGAAACACGGUCCAGACUCCUACGGGAGGCAGCAGUGGGGAAUUUUGCGCAAUGGGGGAAACCCUGACGCAGCAACGCCGCGUGGAGGAUGAAGUAUCUUGGUACGUAAACUCCUUUCGAUGGGGAAGAUUAUGACGGUACCCAUAGAAGAAGCCCCGGCUAACUUCGUGCCAGCAGCCGCGGUAAUACGAGGGGGGCAAGCGUUGUUCGGAUUUAUUGGGCGUAAAGGGUGCGUAGGCGGUUUGGCAAGUCUUAUGUGAAAUCUUCGGGCUCAACCCGAAGCCUGCAUAAGAAACUGCCG
rnacentral:rRNA from 1 species